rnacentral:rRNA from 1 species
GGUGAACGCUGGCGGCGUGCCUAAGACAUGCAAGUCGAGCGGGCCGCGGGGUUUUACUCCGUGGUCAGCGGCGGACGGGUGAGUAACGCGUGGGUGACCUACCCGGAAGAGGGGGACAACCCGGGGAAACUCGGGCUAAUCCCCCAUGUGGACCCGCCCCUUGGGGUGUGUCCAAAGGGCUUUGCCCGCUUCCGGAUGGGCCCGCGUCCCAUCAGCUAGUUGGUGGGGUAAUGGCCCACCAAGGCGACGACGGGUAGCCGGCCUGAGAGGGUGGCCGGCCACAGGGGAACUGAGACACGGGCCCCACUCCUACGGGAGGCAGCAGUUAGGAAUCUUCCGCAAUGGGCGCAAGCCUGACGGAGCGACGCCGCUGGGAGGAAGAAGCCCUUCGGGGUGUAAACUCCUGAACCCGGGACGAAACCCCCGACGAGGGGACUGACGGUACCGGGGUAAUAGCGCCGGCCAACUCCGUG